AAGCCAUGAUGUGGGCAUUGAGACCAGUAGCCUUUGAACCUCUCCCAUGCUUCGCUAAAGCUCUCAAGAUUCUUCUGUUGAAACCCAGAGAUUUCGUUCCUUAUCUU